rnacentral:rRNA from 1 species
GAUUGCCUUAGUAACGGCGAGUGAACCGGCAAAAGCUCAAAUUUGAAAUCUUGCAUUUUUGCAUGAGUUGUAAUUUGAAGAGGAUGUCUUUUGUCUUGCUUGGGGUUUAAGUCUCCUGGAAUGGAGCAUCAUGGAGGGUGACAAUCCCGUUUCUGGCUUCAAGUUUUAAGACUUUAUAAGACUCCUUCAAUGAGUCGAGUUGUUUGGGAAUGCAGCUCUAAAUGGGAGGUAAAUUUCUUCUAAAGCUAAAUACAAGCUAGAGACCGAUAGCGAACAAGUAGAGUGAUCGAAAGAUGAAAAGUACUUUGGAAAGAGAGUUAAACAGUAUGUGAAAUUGUUGGAAGGGAAGCAUUUGCAAUCAGAUCUGUGUUGUUGGAAUUCACCUACACAAUUAUUGUGCUUAGAGCAUUUUCCUUCAAUACUUGUCAACAUCAAUUUGAGUAGUGAUAAAAUCUUAGUCAAAAUGUAGCUCACUGAGUGUUAUAGUUGAUUUUGCUUAUCACUAACUUAGAUUGAGGAACGCGAUAGCAUGGAUGUUGACUUAAUGGUUGUAAGUGGCCCGUCUUGAAACACGGACCAAGGAGUCUAACGUUUACGCGAGUGUUUGGGUGUAAAGCUCAAGCGCAUAAUGAAAGUAAAUGUAGGUGGGAGAUUUUUCUUUGGAAAAUUGCACCAUCGACCGAUCUUGAAGUUUUCUGAUGGAUUUGAGUAUGAGCGUAAUUGUUGGGACCCGAAAGAUGGUGAACUAUGCCUGCUUAGGCUGAAGUCAGGGGAAACCCUGAUGGAGGGUCGCAGCGGUUCUGACGUGCAAAUCGAUCGUCAAAAGUGGGUAUAGGGGCGAAAGACCAAUCGAACCAUCUAGUAGCUGGUUCACACC